GGUCAAAGCCAGCAGCUGCGGGAUCGUCACACCCUUACCCUUUAAUCCCAGAGAUGCUGAGCCGGCUUCCAUCCCCUCGCUGAGCUAGCCAGCUGUCUGACUGCUUGAAAAUGGCGGAAGAGGAAGAGGGCGGCGUGGAGGAGGGGGACGUGUUCCUAGCGUUUGCCCAGGGUCCCAUUCCUCCUCGGGGGCCCGUGCGGCGGGCUUUGGACAAGAUCUUCCUCGCCUUCUUGGUCCUCUUCCUGACUCUGCUGAUGCUGGAGGCUGCUUACAAACUGCUGUGGCCCCUGCCAUGGGCCAAGUUUCGGGACUGGCUCCUGAAGACCCCUGAGGAGGAGGCAGCUCUGGAACUCUGAGCAUCUUCAUAGACCACCUGUCCUUGCUACUGAGCCCUGCUCACUCAAAAGAUUUAUUAUAUUUACGUACACUGUGGCUGUCUUCAGACACCCCAGAAGAGGGCAUCAGAUCUCAUUAAGGAUGGUUGUGAGCCACCAUGUGGUUGCUGGGAUUUGAACUCAGGACCUCCAGAACAGCAGUCAGUGCUCUUAACCGCUGAGCCAUCUCACCAGCCCUUAAGAGUGUAUUUUAUUUCCUUUUGAUUUCCUGCAAGUAUCAUGGUUUAAGUUUUUUUUCUGGCUGUAAGACUCCAUUGUAUGUCCGAACCACAUUUUGUCUGUUUUAUGGGCCAGUUGGCUGCUUCUAUUCUUUUGCCUAUUGCAAUUGCUACAGAAAUAAACAUGGAUGUGUA
rnacentral:lncRNA from 1 species